GGUUCUGUAGUGUAGAGGUUAUCACUCUGGUUUUUGAAAUAAAAAGAAUACCAGAAACCCCGGUUCGAACCCGGGCAGGACCU
rnacentral:tRNA from 1 species